UAAGAGAAAGCCGAAAAUCUUUAAAAGAGUAGGUA
rnacentral:ncRNA from 1 species